rnacentral:tRNA from 1 species
UGUUCUGUAGCUUAGCUGGUCUAGCGAAUACGAUGUCGUGGGUUCGAAUCCCACCAGAACGC